rnacentral:rRNA from 1 species
UACGUAGGGCGCAAGCGUUAUCCGGAAUUAUUGGGCGUAAAGAGCUCGUAGGCGGUCUGUUACGUCUGCUGUGAAAACCCGAGGCUCAACCUCGGGCCUGCAGUGGGUACGGGCAGACUAGAGUGCGGUAGGGGAGAUUGGAAUUCCUGGUGUAGCGGUGGAAUGCGCAGAUAUCAGGAGGAACACCAAUGGCGAAGGCAGAUCUCUGGGCCGUAACUGACGCUGAGGAGCGAAAGCAUGGGGAGCGAACAGG